GCACCUCCCAGGAGAUGCUAUUCUAGUCAUGUUCUUCAGCGUAAAGAGAUAAAUGAUGCUUCCUCUCAACUGAGUGACUAGAAGAAAUCCUGAACUUCACAGAUGAGCUCACACCACCCAGAUUGAUAAACUGGCCUAUCUCAUCCUGUGGCCCCCUCCCAGGAAGUGACUCAGCACGAGAGGACAGUAUCAACUCCCUAUGAUUUCAUCUCUCACCUGACCAAUCAGAACUCUUGACUCACUGGCCCCCCUACCCACCAAAUUAUCUUUAAAAACUCCAGUCCUCAAAUUCUCAGAGAGACUGAUUUGAAUAAUAACAAAACUCUGGUGUACUGCA